rnacentral:rRNA from 1 species
AUUGAACGCUGGCGGCAUGCUUUGCACAUGCAAGUCGAACGGUAACAGGUCUUCGGAUGCUGACGAGUGGCGAACGGGUGAGUAAUACAUCGGAACGUGCCUAGUAGUGGGGGAUAACUACUCGAAAGAGUAGCUAAUACCGCAUGAGAUCUACGGAUGAAAGCAGGGGACCUUCGGGCCUUGUGCUACUAGAGCGGCUGAUGGCAGAUUAGGUAGUUGGUGGGGUAAAGGCUUACCAAGCCUGCGAUCUGUAGCUGGUCUGAGAGGACGACCAGCCACACUGGGACUGAGACACGGCCCAGACUCCUACGGGAGGCAGCAGUGGGGAAUUUUGGACAAUGGGCGAAAGCCUGAUCCAGCAAUGCCGCGUGCAGGAUGAAGGCCCUCGGGUUGUAAACUGCUUUUGUACGGAACGAAAAGCCUGGGGCUAAUAUCCCCGGGUCAUGACGGUACCGUAAGAAUAAGCACCGGCUAACUACGUG